rnacentral:rRNA from 1 species
UUUAGCCAUGCUAGUUGCACGAGUUCACACUCGUAGCAUAUAGCUCAGUAACACGUGGUCAAGCUACCCUGCAGACACGGACAACCUCGGGAAACUGAGGCUAAUCCGCGAUACCGAUCCCACGCUGGAAUGCCGGGAUCCACAAACGCUCCGGCGCUGCAGGAUGCGGCUGCGGCCGAUUAGGUAGACGGUGGGGUAACGGCCCACCGUGCCGAUAAUCGGUACGGGUUGUGAGAGCAAGAGCCCGGAGACGGAAUCUGAGACAAGAUUCCGGGCCCUACGGGGCGCAGCAGGCGCGAAACCUUUACACUGCACGCAAGUGCGAUAAGGGGACUCCGAGUGCGAGGGCAUAUAGUCCUCGCUUUUGAGAACCGUAAGGCGGUUCUCGAAUAAGAGCUGGGCAAGACCGGUGCCAGCCGCCGCGGUAAUACCGGCAGCUCAAGUGAUGGCCAAUCUUAUUGGGCCUAAAGCGUCCGUAGCUGGCCACGAAAGUCCGUCGGG